CGAAGCUGCGGAUGUGUGUAUUUAUACACACAUGGUAGGGGAGCGUUGUGUAAGUGGCUGAAGGCAAGCUGUGAGGCUUGCUGGACAUAUCACAAGUGCGAAUGCUGACAUGAGUAACGAUAAUGGGUGUGAAAAACACCCACGCCGAAAGACCAAGGUUUCCUGCGCAACGUUAAUCGACGCAGGGUUAGUCGGUCCCUAAGGCGAGGCUGAAAAGCGUAGUCGAUGGAAAACAGGUUAAUAUUCCUGUACUUCUGGUUAUUGCGAUGGAGGGACGGAGAAGGCUAGGCCAGCUUGGCGUUGGUUGUCCAAGUUUAAGGUGGUAGGCUGGAAUCUUAGGUAAAUCCGGGAUUCUAAGGCCGAGAGCUGAUGACGAGUCAUCUUUUAGAUGACGAAGUGGUUGAUGCCAUGCUUCCAAGAAAAGCUUCUAAGCUUCAGGUAACCAGGAACCGUACCCCAAACCGACACAGGUGGUCAGGUAGAGAAUACUAAGGCGCUUGAGAGAACCUGGGUGAAGGAACUCGGCAAAAUCGUACCGUAACUUCGGGAGAAGGUACGCUGCUGUUUGUGAUGGGACUUGCUCCCUAAGCGAAUGGCAGCCGCAGUGAAAUGGUGGCUGGAACUGUUUAUUAAAAACACAGCACUGUGCUAAAUCGAAAGAUGACGUAUACGGUGUGACGCCUGCCCGGUGCCGGAAGGUUAAUUGAUGGGGUUAGC
rnacentral:rRNA from 1 species